AAUAUUGGACAAUGGGGGGAACCCUGAUCCAGCCAUGCCGCUUGUGUGAAGAAGGUCUUCGGAUUGUAAAGCACUUUAAGUUGGGAGGAAGAGUUGUAGGCUAAUACCUUGCAAUUUUGACGUUACCAACAGAAUAAGCACCGGCUAACUUCGUGCCCGCAUCCGCGGUAAUACGAAGGGUGCAAGCGUUAAUCGGACUUACUGGGCGUAAAGCGCGCGUAGGUGGUUCGUUAAGUUGUAAGUGAAAGCCCCGGGCUUAACCUGGGAAUUGCUUUCAAAACUGACGAGCUAGAGUACGGUAGAGGGUAGUAGAAGUUCCUGUGUAGCGGUGAAAUGCGUAGAUAUAGGAAGGAACAUCAGUGGCGAAGGCGACUACCUGGACUGAUACUGACACUGAGGUGCGAAAGAGUGGGGAGCAAGCAGG
rnacentral:rRNA from 1 species